rnacentral:rRNA from 1 species
GUGUGAUAAGGGAAUCCCCAGUGCUUAUGUAAUGCAUAGGCUUUUGCCAAGUGUAAAAUGCUUGGCGAAUAAGUGGUGGGUAAGACUGGUGCCAGCCGCCGCGGUAACACCAGCGCCACGAGUGGUGACCGCGAUUAUUGGGCCUAAAGCGUCCGUAGCCGGUUUGAUAAAUCUCUUGUGAAAUUGUCUGACUCAACCAUACAACGUGCAAGAGACACUGUCAAACUCGAGACCGGGAGGAGUCAGAAGUAUUCCUGAGGGAGCGGUAAAAUGUUAUAAUCUCAGGAGGACUACCUGUGGCGAAGGCGUCUGACCAGAACGGAUCUGACGGUGAGGGACGAAAGCUAGGGGAGCGAACCGGAUUAGAUACCCGAGUAGUCCUAGCCGUAAACGCUGUGAGCUAGGUGUUGCACCAGCGACCUGUUGGUGCAGUGUCGAAAUGAAGAUGUUAAGCUCACCGCCUGGGAAGUACGGUC